UACGUAGGCAGCGAGCGUUGUUCGGAGUUACUGGGCGUAAAGGGUGUGUAGGCGGUUGUUUAAGUUUGGUGUGAAAUCUCCCGGCUCAACUGGGAGGGUGCGCCGAAUACUGAAUGACUUCGAGUGCGGGAGAGGAAAGUGGAAUUCCUGGUGUAGCGGUGGAAUGCGCAGAUAUCAGGAGGAACACCGGUGGCGAAGGCGGGUCUCUGGGCCGUUACUGACGCUGAGGAGCGAAAGCGUGGGGAGCGAACAGG
rnacentral:rRNA from 1 species